UAUAAUAAGGGUGUGUUGACAAA
rnacentral:snRNA from 1 species